UACGUAGGUGGCGAGCGUUGUCCGGAUUUACUGGGCGUAAAGGGAGCGUAGGCGGACUUUUAAGUGAGAUGUGAAAUACUCGGGCUCAACUUGAGUGCUGCAUUUCAAACUGGUAGUCUAGAGUGCAGGAGAGGAGAAUGGAAUUCCUAGUGUAGCGGUGAAAUGCGUAGAGAUUAGGAAGAACACCAGUGGCGAAGGCGAUUCUCUGGACUGUAACUGACGCUGAGGCUCGAAAGCGUGGGGAGCAAACAGG
rnacentral:rRNA from 1 species